rnacentral:rRNA from 1 species
UGGGGAAUAUUGCACAAUGGAGGGAACUCUGAUGCAGCGACGCCGCGUGAGUGAUGAAGGACUUCGUUUCGUAAAACUCUGUUCUAUGGGAAGAAAAGGACUGUACCAUUGGAGAAAGCUCCGGCUAAAUACGUGCCAGCAGCCGCGGUAAUACGUAUGGAGCGAGCGUUGUCCGGAAUUAGUGGGCGUAAAGGGUGCGCAGGCGGCUUUACAAGUUGGAUGUGAAAUAUUGUGGCUCAACCACAAACGAGCAUCAAAAACUGAAAAGCUUGAGUUAAGGAGAGGUAAGUAGAAUUCCUGGUGUAGCGGUGGAAUGCGUAGAUAUCAGGAGGAAUACCGGUGGCGAAGGCGACUUACUGGGCUUAAGCUGACGCUCAGGCACAAAAGCGUGGGGAGCAAACAGG